UAUAACAAACAAUCGAAUCGUAAACACAGUAUCCAUUUGUUAUUAAUUAAUCAUAUUGCAGGAUAACGUGACUUUGUGGGGUUCCCCCUUUUAACUUGAAUGGUAGUAAACACGACGGCAAGUGGUGUAUUAUUUCGAUUUAUUUUUUAAAACAAUUUUUCUUAAUACUUUCAAUCUUUUAUGAUCAAAACAUGACAAUCCAGUUUUUGUUAUUUUUUCACAAUAUAUAAUAUGAUCAUGACUACGAAUAACAUUCAUAGUAGAUUUCUUACAUGUUUCAUCAGGUAAUAAUUGCAAUUACUCUUUGUAUUUUAUUUAUUGUUUAUACGCUGUGUAUUGUAUAUUAUUUUCAUACACCCUCAAAUAUGUAAUGUAUAUUAAUGUAUGUGUGUGUUUAAUAUUAAAUACAACAUCAGCGUGCAAACAGCAUAACACCUGAACAGCAGCAACCUCAGCAAUCGCAGCAACCUCUGCUACAACAACAACAGAUAGCACUGCAUACACAGCAGAAAUCGCAGCAACCUCUGCUACAACAACAACAGCAAAGAAGCAAAAGUCCCGAAUGGGUCACGCAAUAUCGGUGGAGCUUUCCUGAGAAACGUUCACCGAAAGCACACAGCUGAGAAGGCAUUUUGUCACACAAGCCGGAGUCAGUAAAACAAACCUUUCGACGCCACAGGAAGCGAUCGCCGACCAGACGACUCGUCACCGGCGUCCAGCCAGUCAUCCCACUUUUACACCUCGACAUUAGCGUUUACCUUUAAAUCUUAGUUUCUUUAUUAUCAUCAUCAGUAACAUUGUGAUGUUGUCCUUACCGUUGAAAAUUCUGUCAUUGUUCACGAUGCCGUUACUUACGUUGUUAAUAUCGUACCAUAUUUGUCAUACUGAUCUGGCAUCUAUCAUUUCCAUAUUGUAUAUUUUUCACAUUUUGUCGUCGGAAACCUAAUAUUGUUUUAUCAUAACGUUAAUUUUUGUACCUUGUAAUUCAGGAUUUGAUCUCUCUAAAGAUUUUAAAUCAUAAAAUAUAAAAUCUUUCUUUGAUGAAAAUGUGGUAUGUGACGUAAGUAGAAUAGAAUGAAGAAUUUCAGCGCCAUGUUUUGAGGAGCAAUGAGGAGCGAGUGAGGAGCGAGUCAGUCGGUCAAGUUGAGGUCAAUUUUUAAUAGGAUUAAAUAGCAAGGGUUGGCUAAAUUCGUUUAAAGAAAAAUCGUAUUUUCACAUUAGAAAAAAGGAAAAAAUUAUUUCAUUAUCAGUUGAGGAAAUAAUUAGGUUGAAGGAAAUCUUCGAAACACUUCCAGAAAACAUCAAUGUGUUCGAUCGACAGGUUACAAUUGCAAUUACUCAUUUGUAUUUAUUGAUUAUACACUAUAUGUGUAUUGUAUAUUAUUAUAUGAUAAUACACUAUGUGUGUAUGUGUGUAUUGUAUAUUAUUUAUUGAUUAUACUCUAUGUGUG